UGAACCGGUCCUGUCCUGUCCACAGGGAGCUCCAGCCCUUUCUCCGGACUCCGUGCAGAAGCCGCCCGCCACCAUGUCAGACGAAGAAGUCGAACAGGUGGAGGGUAAGUGUCGAAGCCACGACCUCUGUCUGCGUGGCCCCCGGGGGAGCACUAGUCCCACAGAGGACACACGUCUCUCCUUGGGGACCCCGGGCUGGCAGCCCUAGAUUUGCCCCGUUCAGUGGGCCCCAGAUCAACACCCCUCUGAAAAGGGGCUCCUCACGCCUGCCCCUGCACCCAAGGUCUCCUCCUUCUCGAAGGUGACAUCCCUGGGAUGUGGUCCCACCUGAGCCCAGCCCUGUGCCCUGCCCUGCCCUGCAC